rnacentral:rRNA from 1 species
GACGAACGCUGGCGGCGUGCCUAAUACAUGCAAGUAGAACGCUGAAGAGAGGAGCUUACUCUUCUUGGAUGAGUUGCGAACGGGUGAGUAACGCGUAGGUAACCUGCCUUGUAGCGGGGGAUAACUAUUGGAAACGAUAGCUAAUACCGCAUAACAAUGGAUGACACAUGUCAUUUAUUUGAAAGGGGCAAUUGCUCCACUACAAGAUGGACCUGCGUUGUAUUAGCUAGUAGGUGAGGUAAUGGCUCACCUAGGCGACGAUACAUAGCCGACCUGAGAGGGUGAUCGGCCACACUGGGACUGAGACACGGCCCAGACUCCUACGGGAGGCAGCAGUAGGGAAUCUUCGGCAAUGGGGGCAAACCUGACCGAGCAACGCCGCGGGAGUGAAGAAGGUGUUCGGAUCGUAAAGCUCUGUUGUAAGUCAAGAACGGGUGUGAGAGUGGAAAGUUCACACUGUGACGGUAGCUUACCAGAAAGGGACGGCUAACUACGUG